AUGGUCUCCUGGCUGGAACUCCCGUGGUUGGACCGCCCGAUUAUAGUGUCGCUGCUGGGCCUGUUGCGCCUUGACGAGGUGCUCCCGGACGAUGGGCAUCACUCGGUCGAUCUCGACGAGCCCGUUGGUCUGGGGGUGGUACACCGUAGUGCGGAGCUGCUGGACCUUCAGGAGUUUGCAGAGGUCCGCCAUCAUCCGGGACAUGAACGGGGUGCCCUGGUCAGUCAGUAUCUGGGAUGGGAUGCCGACCCGACUACACAGCAGGAAGAGCUCCUGGGCGAUGGCUUUGGUAGUGGCCUUGCGGAGGGGAAUGGCCUCAGGGUAGCGGGUGGCAUAAUCCACGAUGACCAGGAUGUGUUCAUGCCCCCGGGCGGACUUCGGCAGCAGCCCCACUAAGUCCAUUCCGAUCCGCUCGAAGGGCACCUCAAUGAUGGGCAGCGGUAUCAGCGGGCUGGGGGGAGGGGUCCGUGGUGAGGUCUGCGGGCAGGUUGGGCAGGCUUGGCAGAACCGCCGGACUUCGACCUCUAGGCCCGGCCAGUGGAACCGGUCACGGAGGCGCUGGACGGUGUUCUGUACUCCUAGGUGUCCUGCCAUGGGAUGUGCGUGGGCUAUCUCCAUCACCGUUCCGGUCUUGCUGCGCGGAACAACCAGGAGCGUCUUUUCCUCCCCCCUCCGCUGUGCGACACAGUACAGCAGGCCAUUUUUCACUAUAAAGUGAGGGGUGGGGUGAGGUGCCGGUUGGAUUUCUUUUCUGUCCACCACUCUCACUUGACCCCAGCAGUGUUUUAACCGGUCGUCCGCGUGCUGCUCUUUGGAGAACCCUCCAGCCCCCGUCACCUGUUGGUACAGGUCAUAAUAAAGGUUAGGAGUUGGAAGGGGUGACUCACCAUCUCUGGGGCUGUCUGAGGCCGGCAGCACGGGACGCCGUCGGGUCCUCUUGCUGGGCUUCCGGGAUGGGCGGUUCCUGGCCGGGCCGGCAGGCUGAGUGACGGAGGCGAGCAACUGGUCGAACCCUGGCCAGUCUCGCCCGAGGAGGACCGGUACCGGCAGAUCCUUGACCAGUCCGACAUCUAUGGGCCAGGCGCCGGGCGGCGCAGCGAUGGUAACCCAUCGUGCCGGCACGUCCCUGGUGUCGCCGUGCACACAGGUGAUGGAGAGCUUCGUUUUGGCUUCAGGCCGCGGGGGCAACACCGCCGUCUUCUCCCUGUGCACGGCGCAGCCUGCCAGCCAAGGUCGUGGCGGAGAACGGGGUGCCUCGGUGGGCAUGGGCUCAUCUCGAGGGCCGGGAACCGCCGGCCUGCUCACCGGUCGCUGGGUGCCCUCCGGCGUGCGCCGCUCCUGGACCACCCUUCGGGGAAACGGCGGCGCUCUCUCCCCAACCUCCCGGUGUUGGUUGUUCGCUAGGUUCCGCAUGCCGGCUGCCUGACGUAGCGGGCAAGGAAGGGCCCGCAGGAGGCGAUCCACGACGACAUGCUCCGCUACCUGGUGUGCGUUGGGACCCCCGGCCAGUAACCAGUGCUGCGCGAGACGGGAGAGAUUGGCCGCCUGAGCUCGGGCCGGCUGUCGUGGGUCGAAAACCCAUUCAUUAAAGAGCUGAGCGGCGCUGAUCGGUGAGAGUCCCAUCCGGCCCAGGAUUUCCUUUUUCAACUCCUCGUAAGACUCGUUGAGCUCUGGGGGAAGCGUGAAAUAAGCCCGCUGGGCCUCUCCCAUUUGCAGCGGGGUGAUGAUCCGGGCCCACUCCGCCUUGGGCCACGCCUCCUGAGUGGCCACGGUCUCAAACAUCUGAAAGUACGUGGUAACGUCAUCGUGGGAUGUUAUCCUUGGCAGCAGCUGGGUGGCCUGGACAUGGGGGUCAGGCAGCGGAGUGCGUGCGCCGGCAGCCAUGCUGAGCGCGGCGAGCUCCCGUUCAGUUUCCCCUUGCCGAGAGGCCAUAUGCUCCAAGAGUUCUUCCAUCGCCGGGGGAGGAGCGCCACCUAAAGAAACCAGAGAAGACACGUGAGCCAACAGGGCGUGUGGGAAAGGAAAAACAAAAAAAAACAAUCAAACCAGUCCGGCUGGGGAAACACCGCGUGGGUAGGUGUCGUCGGUGUCUUCUUCACUGUCCUGCCUGCAUUCUCCACCAGUGUGGCGGGGUGAAGAAGGACACGACGAGUAAGUACAGGUGAGUUCCCCGAAGGAUGGGUUUUAUUAAUAAAUAUGGUGGUAGAAGGCGGUGAGAUGAGGUGGUCCGGUGCGGGGUGCUCAGCUUCCUCUGUGCUCUUGUGUGCUGUGGCAGUGUGGGUCCGUUGUGCUCUCCCAUGUGCGGUGGGGCUGGCGGUCACACACUGCUCUCUGAAAGCAAGACAGACAGUUAGGAUUAGCUGGCUCUGCUGGAGACAUCGCUCACCUCUGUGUUCGUUUGCUAUGCUUAAGUAGGCAGUUCUCAAUGAUCCGCAGGUGUGGCCGCUCAGCCCGUGACGAGCAGGAGCAGGUGUGACUGCUCGGUUUCCAGGGUGACGCUGAUGAGAGCUCGGGACACGUGUCACAAUAUAUAUAUAUAUAUAUAUAUAUAUAUAUAUAUGUAUAUAUUAACCAAGAAUGAACCGAAAUGAAAACAUUUAGCUUUUAAUCCGUAUAUAUAUAUAUAUAUAUAUAUAUAUAUAUGUAUGUAUGUAUGUAUGUAAUGACUGUUUAAUAACAAUAGCAUGCAUAAGAGCCUUUGUUUAAAGGUCUUUCUUUAAUUUUUUGAUGAGUAGACUGUAGCCUGUGUUGUUUAACGUCUUCCUUUCAUUUUACAAUUACAUUCAGUUCGCAAUCCGUCCCUUUGCGCCACCUGGCGGUAGUUUCGCAAAUGAUUUUAACACGCGACUGACUUGCAGUUAACGCCGCAGCCCUGCGGCAGCGGUACGCGCGGCAGUAUUACCCAUUUUGGUUGUCUACCUACUGUACUUCUAACUUGUUUGAUUGGUAAAAUAAAUGUUGUAAAUUCAAAUCAGAGAGUCUUCUGUGUCUGGAAUGGAUGUAUUCUUGAGUCUAUAAGGUAACAAUAAUAUAAUAAAAUAACCUUGUUUGAAAUGGGUUUGGCUAAAAGAAAAUUUUGGUUUCGUCUAUACUACUAGGUACUUGUACUAUAUUGACUGGGUUAAAUAGAAUUGCAUUACUAAAAAGAAACUAAAAUACCAUUUUCAUUGACUAAAACUAGACUAAAUGUCAUCAGUUUUUGUUGACUAAAACUAGACUAGACUAAAAAAAGAGUGUGAAUGUGACUAAAACUAAUAAAAACUAAAAUGACAGCUUCACACAAAGAAUAGACUAAGACUCAAAUUAAAACAGGCCACCAAAAACAACACUAGCUGACCAUACAACCAAGUUUCAUCAUCAUAAGCCCUCAUAACUCUGCUCAUCUACAGAUAGGACUGGUUUUCUUUUUAUUUUUAACCGUUUAUGAUCUCAACCUGCAGUGGACUG
ensembl:lncRNA